CGUAAAAUGGUGCAGCCGCGCUAGAAAACAUCUGCUGGUUCCUCAGAAGGCUGAACCCAGCGACCACGGGAGCGAGCAACCCAACUCCUACCAAGUGUGUGCACGGAGAUGUGCAGACGAACGUCCAGGCAAAAACCUGGACACGAAUGUUCACAGCAGCGUGACUCGUGCCACCUACGAAGUACAAACAGCCCGUUGUUUAUAACGCGCUAGAACACGGGUGAGCCUCGACACCAUGAUGCUGAGAUCCAGGUCACGAAAGAGCACACAUAGUAUGAUUCUACUCGUACGACAUAAUGUCAGGAGAGGCGAAGCUCGAGAUGGAAAGUGGAUUAAUGGAUGCCUAGGACAUUUUUGCUUCCAGAGGGACUUCAGGAUUGUUUCUUCAAGACCAAGAAAUAAAUUUUUAAAAAUUUUAACGAAGUGUUCCAGAAUCCCAUUAAACAUACACGUCCAGCUGGGGAAUGAAGUGCUUUUCAGAUGAACAGAAACCGUUUCUGCCCCCCAUUCAUCACAGCAUCAACUGAAGGCAUCUGAUGAGUAAACAACGGAUGACAGAUGACUUAAAGCUUGGACACUCUUCUUCUUUCUGUGCUCUCUCUGGCUUCCGCGCCACCUCGUUGCCUCCCGCUGCUCCCCAGGAACCGGCUCCUCAAACCGCCUGCCCUGUAGCACCUUUCUGGCUGCCCCUCCUUUCUCCCCAAACUAGACGGCACAACAUCCCAUCAGUCCUGAACCCUGCUCAGCAACCAACUAGUUCCAUGACGAAACCGUGUGGCCCUAAUCGUGUUCGCGCCUCAUUUUACAGACAGGCUGAGGCAAAGUCUGUACAUCCAGGAGAGACAUCUUGAAUCUGGUGUCAACACGCAGCCAGGGAGAGGGGGCUGCAUCGAGCCUCGCCCAAGGCUGGACGGAACAUCCCAUAAGCCUGAAGAUCACCCAGGCAAGCCCCUUUCCCUCGACUCCGUGGCUCGCCAAGUUAGCCAUAGGGGGCUUUCUGGGCCCCGGAUCACAAGAAGGGAGUAUCUAUGAAGGGGCUCGCUAAAACAUAUUAAAUGCCAUCAUCAAUGGUUCAGUUGUGACUUCUGUGGGUUUAGCUUGAGUCCUUUCCCCUCCGGCCCCUCUGAUCGAUGGUGGCGCUCGUGACAGACAAGUUUCUAGGUCUGCAAAGCUGAGAGCCAGACCUCUGACUGCAGUGACCUCCCAUCCUGCUGGGGGACAGGCAGGCUACAUCCUUUCUAAUUAUAACGGGUAGCCCGAGUUGUAAUUACGAACGCAUUCCCGAAAUGUAAGAAAUACGUACGAUAAAAGCCUGAUUAAACAGCCUUAACAAUAAUAUGCUAUAUAUUCAAAGCUCAGAAUAUCACACCCCAUAAACCCUUUCUAGAAAAGGAGACUACAGGAAUUGCUGGCUAAAAGUUGGGUGCUUUCGGUCAUCUGACUUAGGCCAUGGCCGAUUCGACCAAGAAUUUGCACCCUGGCCCGAGGCAACCUGUCGGCUGGCCACAAGCACAGAAGAGCCUAAGGCCCAGGGUCCUAACUGAAACAACGUGGCCCCAAAAGGCUGCUCCCUUCUAGACGGCGUCAGACUCUCCUUGGGAGACAAAGAGGCUGCGAGGGCUCCAGGCAGAAGCAAAGGACUGGCCCACAUCAGGCCUUAUUAGAAUCGGAAGCCGCGUCUGCCGCUUUCUGAAGGAGGCACAAGGUGACCGUUAUGGGAAUCACUGGCUUUGCCAGUCACACCCUCUGGACUCCGAUCCCAGCUCGGCCGCAUCCUAGCUACUUGACCUUGGGUAAAUCAUUUCUCUGAGCCUCGGUUUCCUCUUCCAUCAAAUGGAGAGAAUGACAGGCGUGCACUAUAUGACACAGAACUGUCGUGAGGAAGGACACGACGUGAACACGGGGGGAGGCCUGGCCGGGAAGAGCCCUCCGCGGAGGAGCACGACCACGCCGACAGACUCAGUUGAGGGGACGGCCCGUGUGUCCUCGCCUCCUGGCGUGGAGCUCCGGCCCCCCGAGCGCUCUGGCCCUCCCCACGCCACCCCUGCAGGGCCCCGUCCACCCCGCCCCCCCCCCCCCCCAUUCCUGUUCCAGAGGCACUGGCUGAGAAGACUAGCACGCUCCGGGGCGGCAUACCUGGAGACACGGAAACACUGGGGGAUCGUCAAUCCAAAGUUAGCGGGGGGAGGGGGAAAGGCAAAUGUCGCAGUUGUCCCCGAACAGCUCUGGCAUUUCAGACCCAGUGUUUUCUAAUACUUACUAAACGCGUCUACUGCCUUUGCCAUGGUGUUCUGGGCAGACCUGAAAACAUAAAAACAAGAGAUCAAAGUGAUUUCCCCUGAAAGCUGUAAAGGGAACAAAACAGCGAUCGCGUUUUCACCGACGUUUGUCACAACACCGUCCUCUACGAGGUCUGGCAGAUAUUUCCGUUGCCGCACAACAUGGGACCCUGUCCUCGCUGCAGAGGACGAGGGGAGAGCGUCCAAACCCGAUUCUCUCAUGCUAAAUCUGUGGCUCACAUCCACACACGUCCUGUUCAGAAAGGAUACUUCAGGCGGGACAGAAGUCUCCCCACCCUGCUAUUUUCAUACUGUAAAAACAACUAGUAAAAAUUCAAUUUCCCUCCA